AACCUUCAACUUUUGCUUUCAUUCUGGAACACAUAUCCUCCCUCCUUAUAAAGAUAUGACCCUUAUUCUUGAAUUUAGACCUAUUAAAUAAAAUGAUUUAAAAGAAAUAUAGAGGGAGUCAGAGAUCAGAGGCUAGAGACUUAUUCAGUUUUCUUCUGACCUCUUUAGAAACUUAUUCAUUUCUCUCCUCCUUCCCUCUCAAAGGGUACCUCUUAUUCCCAGAGUUGCUAAUUACAGAGAAGCAUCAGCAGGACCUUUCUGAACCAUGGCUCCAAGUCAUAAGAAGAGGAACCAAGCAGAAGAGAAAUCACUGGGUUGAAGAGAUGGUAAAAGCUAACAGCAAUGGUUUGAAGCUAAAGAAUUUGUAGACCUCAGUUUCUUAAAAGAAAAUGAAGAGUUCUAUGAAAGCUAUGAAAGUAUCUAGCCCCUUUCAAAAAAAAAAAGAAUAACCAUCAUGUGUUCCUCAUAGAGAAGUAGCAGAGAAAGAGCUUUUCUCUACUAUUGCUGUAACAUGAAUUGUAUGGAGCAAGUGUGGCUAUUCCCUGCCUGCAUCCUGUAAGAUCAUGUGAGAGCUCUGGACAUGUAUGAUUCAUCACUAAGAGUGUCCUAACUGGCUGGCUGGAGGCCAUUGUGAAUCAUCACUGAGAGUAUCCCUAAUUGGCUACAGAGCAGGAAUAGCUGAUGAGUCAGAGGACCUUGGAAAAGAAAUGCAAGGUUCUGGCUGGGGUAAAUUAGCUGUUGCUCACCAGAUGACAAGGGGUUAUCUCUGGUAUUCUUUACGAACAAUGCAUUGAUGGGAGUUGCUCUUGGAUAGAUCCUACUCUCUUCCGUUUCACUGUUUUAAAGUGACAAAAAGAGAUGGAAUUUGGUCCCUUUAAGAAACUAGGCAAGAGACAUUGAGUAAAGAUGACACCUGGAAAGAUUAUAACUCCCCUAGGAAUUAUCCUGCAGAUAUUUUAAAAGGUGCCAGAUGAAACAAUCAUAUAAAGUGAAUCACUAAAACAAAAGGGAAACAGCAAUGAACUAUCCAGGCUAGGACCACACAAGAAGACUUUCAGAAGCUUGUGGAUAGCCUGGUCAGGAAAAUACCAGGGGAGAGCCUGAAGCCAAUGGGAUGUUAUCCUAAGGCUAUUGGAAUCAUAACAAGAAAUAAAGCCAGCUCCCAAUACUUAACUUUGUAAAGGGAACCCAGGUCAUGUUUGUAUAUAUCUUGGGGCCCUCAAGGAAGCCUGAAGUCAAUGCUACCAUGACAAGUGAAAAAACUAGCUCACCAUAGGAAGCUUCCUGGGGAAAGGAGAAGCACAGCAAUCAGUAGCUAAGGCUUAAAACUAGUCAUUCACUGGCCAUUUCAGAGGAUAUAGAAGACAGAGAAGAAGCACAGACAAUCAGAACCCUCAAAGAGGUCCGAAGCCAGCAUUAUGAAAAAUACUCAAUGUGGACUUUGUCCUAAGUGACAAAAGCCAACUGCAAGUUAGUGACUAUUCAACGAAAAGGAAAGGGUCAUAGGACUGGGGCCAGAAUCCAUGUCUGGUCACCAGGACAGAAUCAGAAAUCAAGAAUUGUGAUAGAAGGUAGGUUUUUUUUUUUUUUUUCAGCUCCAUCCACUCUUUAUUCCAGGUCAAAGCCACCAAUGAGGAAAGCAACUAGGACUAUGAAUUAGUCACGUCAUGCAGAACUUCAGCAAGACAACCAUAAUAGCACUCAUAUUGCAGUGGAGAGAAGAUCAGGAAAUAUUUAUCAUGACUAUCCAAGAGGGCAAGGAUGAAUGGAGCCUGUAAUAAAUGGUCCUGGCAUAAAGUAAUGAACCAGGAAAUAAAGCAGCAAAUAAGAGUAAAUAGAAGAAAAUUCCAAAUUCAAUGAAGAAAUGCUAUGGGAAAAGAGAAGA